rnacentral:tRNA from 1 species
GCGUUGUAGUCCAACGGUUAGGAUAAUUGCCUUCCAAGCAAUAGACCGGGUUCGACUCCUGGCAAACGCA